AAGACUCAGUGGAUUGGUUAAACUCUCAGUAGAGAACAGUAGAGCAAGGAAUUUGGACUUGAGCAGUGUUGUUAAUGACUUUGCUGAGCGAAAGGCCCGUAGGAUGAACUUCUAAUGGAUUCCUCCCUCAGUCGGCUCUUCUCUCUCUGGUUGUGUUUUGUUCAUCACCAGGGCUGAAAAUAGCCUCUGGAGUCCCACAAGUGAGAGGAAAUGUGGAACUGGAUCCCUGCAGAGUCAAAGGAAGUCUAAAACACACAAGGAUGAGUGAAAGAGGUAUCUAACCCAUGAUAAUGUGUGGGAUUAAAUGAUGGAAAACAAAAAAAUAUCUAGCAUACACAGGUAAUUGCAUUUAUAUAAAUAAUAAAUAAAUGUUGUCAGAACAAUCCAACCACUGUCCAGGGGGUUGAUUCUGAAGCUGUCCUGGGUGAGGUACAAGAGAUGCAGCAUUGUAAAUGCAGCUGACAUCAAAACCAUUUAGCAUCCAUGAGGCAUGUGUCAGAGCUGAUUUGCUGGUAUAUUGCACGAUCUGAAGGGUGCAGGUAAGUGUUCCUUGGUUAAUUGUAAUUGGGUUGUGUGUUUUUUUGUUUACAGUGCAGCUUUGUUGAGUUUAAAUAUGCAAAUGGAGGGUAUCUCAGGGAGAGUCCCUUUGACACAUGCACUGCAACCCUGAACUUAUCUUGACAUUAUGCAGAGGAGCUGUAUGUAAAAAAGUAAAUGUCCGAAUAAGUUGGAACGGACAUUAAACAGACUUUACCGUCAUCAUUAUGGAUGAGUCCUCCUCCUCCUUCCCACUCUACCCAUGAGCCCCCCUCACUUGAGCUAAACGGAGUAGUGGCUGAGAAUGCGUCUGACAUGGACAAUGUCCUGUUACGUGCUACAUGUGUGACUUGAGGUGACGAGUGACGUGACAGGAAGGUAAAAACGGGCUUUUCAUUUCCUUCAGUUGUGUGAAUGGAAAGUUUGCGUUGGUCUGUACUAGUUAGACAUGAUCAGCAAGUAGGGAGCAGUUCUGUAAUGGAAACAAUUAAGGAGCAAGAUUUCCCCAAGCAGUAAACUCAAACCUAAUCAAUAGCUAAUGCCCAAGGUAAAACUGCCCCGUUUCUUUAAUUCUGGCUGACAAUUAUUUAUUUAUUUUUUUUAAGUUGGCCUCUCUGUUUGUUAAUGUCUUAUUGAAAGGAUCUCUUUGGACUGACUGAAUCCAACACGGUUUAUGUCUGAAUUUGAAGUCCAACACAAACAAAUUGUGAUGACAACUGAUCAUUUCAAUUUGCAUUACCUUGGACUGCUGACAUCAGUGGGUUUAUUGCUGCGUUUGCCAGCUGACAAGCUUUUUGCAAUUUGUGAUGCCAAGUGGGAGAUAUUGGAGCCAACAAAAAUUCCCACACAUCCUGCUUGUAAUUAGCACUAGGAGGCUGACAUGCCCAUUUUUUCCCUGUUGGCUGCUCAUAUUUAUGGUAAAUUCGAUAUGAUGUGAACAUGGUAUGAACAUCAGAGUGAAAAUGUCAGCAGAGGGGCUAGUCUUAUGCCAAGUUGCUUCAAUUCUAUUCAAUUCAGUUCUUAAUGGGAUUUUUAGGCUGUAAUCAUCUUCAGAUUUCUUGAGCACUGACAUACCUCUGUCAAUUAUGGAUGCCAUUUUAGUCGGCUCCUGGGGUUUAAAAAGAACUUACAUCAUAAUUUGCUAAAGAAAAAUUGCUUUAUUUCUAGAUUGUGUCUCCAUCCAACUUCUACUUUAACUAUUGUCAGUUACAAGUUUCAACCUGCAUCUUUACAAUAAGAGCGUGAUGUGACAGAAAUUGCUGUUAUUGCUGUAACCCUAAUUAUUCAAAAUUAAAUUAACACAGGUUAUUGAAA